UGGGGAAUAUUGCGCAAUGGGGGGAACCCUGACGCAGCCAUGCGCGUGAAUGAAGAAGGCCUUAGGGUUGUAAAGUUCUUUCGGUAUUGAGGAAGGUUGAUGUGUUAAUAGCACAUCAAAUUGACGUUAAAUACAGAAGAAGCACCGGCUAACUCCGUGCCAGCAGCCGCGGUAAUACGGAGGGUGCGAGCGUUAAUCGGAAUAACUGGGCGUAAAGGGCACGCAGGCGGUUAUUUAAGUGAGGUGUGAAAGCCCCGGGCUUAACCUGGGAAUUGCAUUUCAGACUGGGUAACUAGAGUACUUUAGGGAGGGGUAGAAUUCCACGUGUAGCGGUGAAAUGCGUAGAGAUGUGGAGGAAUACCGAAGGCGAAGCNNGCCCCUUGGGAAUGUACUGACGCUCAUGUGCGAAAGCGUGGGGAGCAAACAGGAUUAGAUACCCUGGUAGUCCACGCUGUAAACGCUGUCGAUUUGGGGGUUGGGGUUUAACUCUGGCGCCCGUAGCUAACGUGAUAAAUCGACCGCCUGGGGAGUACGGCCGCAAGNUA
rnacentral:rRNA from 1 species